UGGGGAAUAUUGCACAAUGGGCGAAAGCCUGAUGCAGCAACGCCGCGUGAAGGAUGAAGGUCUUCGGAUUGUAAACUUCUAUCAGUAGGGAAGAAAAGAAGCCAUAGGUUUCUGUGACGGUACCUAACUAGGAAGCUCCGGCUAACUACGUGCCAGCAGCCGCGGUAAUACGUAGGGAGCAAGCGUUAUCCGGAUUUACUGGGUGUAAAGGGUGCGUAGGCGGCCACCUAAGUCUAAAGUGAAAUUUCGGGGCUCAACCCCGGAGCUGCUUUGGAAACUGGGAGGCUAGAGUAUAGGAGAGGAAAGCGGAGCUCCACGUGUAGCGGUGAAAUGCGUAGAGAUGUGGAGGAACACCAGUAGCGAAGGCGGCUUUCUGGACUAUUACUGACGCUGAGGCACGAAAGCGUGGGGAGCAAACAGGAUUAGAUACCCUGGUAGU
rnacentral:rRNA from 1 species